UUUCCGUAGGUGAACCUGCGGAAGGAUCAUUCAUAAUAAGUGUUUUAUGGCACUUUUUUAAAUCCAUAUCCACCUUGUGUGCAAUGUCAGGGUUGAUUUUUCUCUCGAGAGGAGCAGCCCCAAACAUCAACUAUAUCUCAACUCUUUGUCUGAAAAAUAUUAUGAAUAAAACAAUUCAAAAUACAACUUUCAACAACGGAUCUCUUGGCUCUC
rnacentral:misc_RNA from 1 species